rnacentral:rRNA from 1 species
AUUGAACGCUGGCGGCAGGCCUAACACAUGCAAGUCGAACGCGUGGCGGACGGGUGAGUAAUGUCUGGGAAACUGCCUGAUGGAGGGGGCUAACUACUGGAAACGGUAGCUAAUACCGCAUACCAUCAGAUGUGCCCAGAGGGGAUUGGCUUGUUGGUGGGGGAACGGCUCACCAAGGCGACGAUCCCUAGCUGGUCUGGGAGGAUGACCAGCCACACUGGAACUGCGACACGGUCCAGACUCCUACGGGAGGCAGAAGUGGGGAAUAGUGCACAAUGGGCGCAAGCCUGAUUCAGCCAUGCCGCGUGGAUGAAGAAGGUCUUCGGGUUGUAAAGUACUUUCAGCGGGGAUGCGUUACCCGCAGAAGAAGCACCGGCUAACUCCGUGCCAGCAGCCGCGGUAAUUC